UGGGGAAUAUUGCACAAUGGGCGAAAGCCUGAUGCAGCGACGCCGCGUGGGGGAUGAAGGCUUUCGGGUUGUAAACCUCUUUCGCUAUCGAACAAGGCCCGCUUAGGGUGGGUUGAGGGUAGGUGGAGAAGAAGCGCCGGCUAACUACGUGCCAGCAGCCGCGGUAAUACGUAGGGCGCGAGCGCUGUCCGGAAUUAUUGGGCGUAAAGGGCUUGUAGGCGGCUUGUUGCGCCUGCUGUGAAAACGCGGGGCUUAACUUCGCGCGUGCAGUGGGUACGGGCAGGCUUGAGUGUGGUAGGGGUGACUGGAAUUCCAGGUGUAGCGGUGGAAUGCGCAGAUAUCUGGAGGAACACCGAUGGCGAAGGCAGGUCACUGGGCCAUUACUGACGCUGAGGAGCGAAAGCAUGGGUAGCGAACAGG
rnacentral:rRNA from 1 species